rnacentral:rRNA from 1 species
UACGUAGGGUGCAAGCGUUGUCCGGAAUUAUUGGGCGUAAAGAGCUCGUAGGCGGUUUGUCGCGUCGAAUGUGAAAACCCGGGGCUCAACCCCGGGCCUGCAUUCGAUACGGGCAGACUAGAGUUCGGUAGGGGAGUCUGGAAUUCCUGGUGUAGCGGUGAAAUGCGCAGAUAUCAGGAGGAACACCGGUGGCGAAGGCAGCAUCCUGGACCGGUAUUGACACUGAGGCGCGAAAGCCAGGGGAGCAAACGGG